rnacentral:rRNA from 1 species
GAUGAACGCUGGCGGCGUGCUUAGCACAUGCAAGUCGAACGGAAAGGCUCCUGCUUGCAGGGGUACUCGAGUGGCGAACGGGUGAGUAACACGUGGGUGAUCUGCCCUGCACUUCGGGAUAAGCCUGGGAAACUGGGUCUAAUACCGGAUAGGACGAUGGUUUGGAUGCCAUUGUGGAAAGUUUUUCGGUGUGGGAUGAGCUCGCGGCCUAUCAGCUUGUUGGUGGGGUAAUGGCCUACCAAGGCGUCGACGGGUAGCCGGCCUGAGAGGGUGUACGGCCACAUUGGGAAUGGGAUACGGCCCAGACUCCUCCGGGGGGCAGCGGGGGGGAAUAUUGACAAAGGGGCGCAAGCCGGAUGCAGGGACGCCGGGGGGGGGAUGACGGCCUUCGGGUUGUAAACUCCUUUCGCUGGGGACGAAGCGCAAGUGACGGUACCUGGAGAAAAAACACCGGCUAACUACGU